rnacentral:rRNA from 1 species
UACGUAGGGGGCAAGCGUUGUCCGGAAUCAUUGGGCGUAAAGCGCGUGUAGGCGGCUUGGUAAGUCCGCUCUGAAAGUCCGGGGCUCAACCCCGGGAGGCGGGUGGAUACUGUCAAGCUCGAGUCCGGAAGAGGCGAGUGGAAUUCCUGGUGUAGCGGUGAAAUGCGCAGAUAUCAGGAGGAACACCAAUGGCGAAGGCAGCUCGCUGGGACGUGACUGACGCUGAGACGCGAAAGCGUGGGGAGCAAACAGG